rnacentral:lncRNA from 1 species
CAGAGGGGCGAUGUUUUGCUAACUGAGAUUGAUGCCUCUUUCUGACGGCGUGCGUCUCGGGUCAAAUAAAUGAUCAAUAUUUCUAUAUUUUAUUUGGAUAGGCAAGGAGGUAAGGUAGGGCGGGCCAGGCCCACUAAGGCCCGUCCUAACGGCGGCCGUGUGUAUAGCUUAGACCUAACAGACCUUCACCAGGCCCUCUUCCUCUUUUUCGUGACAAGGAUGCCAUCUAGAGGAAGUAGCUAAUCAUCCUUCAACAACAUUGAAAUUCCAGUUUUGAGUGAGCUAUAGAGUCGGAUACAAUCACCAGACAAUUUUAAACCAUUCUAUGGUUGAUUCCUAAUAAUGUGACUCUUAUUUAGAAGGAAAUGCAUCUGGUAUUUUGCUGAUGUUUUAAGUGACCUGUUGGAGUUUUAACCUAGGGUUUCUUGCACUUCAGAAGAGCGUGUAAGCCUGUUAUCACAGAUAUAUAUUUUUUUCUUCUGCUGGGUGUACUGCAGAAGCAUGGAGUUUUGAGCAGAGAGUACUAGUUAUUCCGAUUAAUUGAUUUAGUUGCAAACGGUUGUAAAAUGUUGGGAUCCUAAACAACCCCCCGGUUUAUAAACUGAAGGUGUAAUACUGCUCCGCUACCAGUAGAUGUCACUAUACGAUUACUCUCAUACUCGUGUCUCCGUUCAUUCACGGCUAUGACGUCUACCAAGAGCAGACAUGUUGAUAGACAGGUGUUCGUGUCCCUUGGACUGGAGGUGACCUUUCCUGUAUUACAAAAACGUUAUUUCAGGGCACUUGGGAGCUACGAUCCGAUCAACCAUAACAUACCAGGCGGGGCACAAACUGGUUGAAUCAAUGUUGUUUCAACGUAAUUUGUCAACAUAUUGUGACGUAGAAUCUAUCUUUGAAAGACAUUUGGAUUUGCUAAAAGUCAUCAACCAGUACUGUUUUUAUAUCAUUUCUACCAGCGUUGCAAACAUUGAAAUUAGGGUCAACCUUCAACUUAAAUACAAUGACUUAACCUGACUAACAGGUUGUUACAUCAAUCAAAUUUCAACAUAAUCAUCAAACUAAGUAUAUGUUGAAAUUGCAAUGAAAAUUCCACAUAGAAUGGUACAUUUGUUUUUAUGUAGAAUCUACAUGGAAAUUGCAACACAUUCAUGUCAUGUGGUGUUGUAAAUACACUACAGGUCAAAAGUUUACAACACCUACUCAUUCAAGG